AUUGAAUUUAAUUCAGGAUUAAAUGCUAUAUUGUAUAAUUUAAUUUAUACUUUAUAUUUUAAUCUAAAAUUAAUAGGGAUAAGCUUAUUAAUUAAUUUAUAAUCUUAAUUUUGUUUAAAUUUUGUAGGAUUAAAAAUUUCCAUCAUUUAUUUUGUUAUAAUUAAUUUUAAUUUAUAUUUUAUUUUAAUUAGGUUUAAAUUUUUAUUAAAAAUAAUUAUUUAAUAAAAUAAAUAAUUGUUAUAAUGAUAAAAUUAGUAAGUAAUAUAAUUAAUAUAUAGUAAUUCGGCAAAAUUAUCCCUCACCUGUUUAACAAAAACAUGUUCUAAUGUUUAAUUUUAUUAGAUUUGACCUGCUCAAUGAUAUUAAUUAAAUAGCCGCAGUAUUUUGACUGUGCGAAGGUAGCAUAAUCAAUUGUCUUUUAAUUGAAGGCUUGUAUGAAAGGUUGGAUGAGGGGAUAACUUUCUUUAUAUUAAAUAUUGAAUUUAAUUUUUAAGUUAAAAAGCUUAAAUUUUUAAAAGGGACGAGAAGACCCUAUAGAAUUUUAUAUUAUUUAUAAAUUAAUUAUUUUGGUUAGUUUUAAAUAAUUUUAUAAAUAAUAUUUUGUUGGGGUGACAGUGAGAUUUAUUAAACUCUUAUAAUUUAUAUUAUUGUUGAUUGACAUAUUUAUGAUCCUGAUUAUGGAUAACUAGAU
rnacentral:rRNA from 1 species